rnacentral:rRNA from 1 species
CACGUAGGCACCAAGCGUUGUCCGGAUUUAUUGGGCGUAAAGAGCGCGUAGGCGGCCUGCUAAGUCGAACGUGAAAUCCCUGGGCUCAACCCAGGAACUGCGUCCGAUACUGGUUGGCUUGAAUCCGGGAGAGGGAUGUGGAAUUCCAGGUGUAGCGGUGAAAUGCGUAGAUAUCUGGAGGAACAUCAGUGGCGAAAGCGGCUUCCUGGUCCAGCACCGACGUUCAGGCACGAAAGCGUGGGGAGCAAACAGG